AGCGGCGGACGGGUGAGUAACACGUGGGUAACCUGCCUGUAAGACUGGGAUAACUCCGGGAAACCGGGGCUAAUACCGGAUGGUUGUUUGAACCGCAUGGUUCAAACAUAAAAGGUGGCUUCGGCUACCACUUACAGAUGGACCCGCGGCGCAUUAGCUAGUUGAUGAGGUAACGGCUCACCAAGGCGACGAUGCGUAGCCGACCUGAGAGGGUGAUCGGCCACACUGGGACUGAGACACGGCCCAGACUCCUACGGGAGGCAGCAGUAGGGAAUCUUCCGCAAUGGACGAAAGUCUGACGGAGCAACGCCGCGUGAGUGAUGAAGGUUUUCGGAUCGUAAAGCUCUGUUGUUAGGGAAGAACAAGUACCGUUCGAAUAGGGCGGUACCUUGACGGUACCUAACCAGAAAGCCACGGCUAACUACGUGCCAGCAGCCGCGGUAAUACGUAGGUGGCAAGCGUUGUCCGGAAUUAUUGGGCGUAAAGGGCUCGCAGGCGGUUUCUUAAGUCUGAUGUGAAAGCCCCCGGCUCAACCGGGGAGGGUCAUUGGAAACUGGGGAACUUGAGUGCAGAAGAGGAGAGUGGAAUUCCACGUGUAGCGGUGAAAUGCGUAGAGAUGUGGAGGAACACCAGUGGCGAAGGCGACUCUCUGGUCUGUAACUGACGCUGAUGAGCGAAAGCGUGGGGAGCGAACACGAUUAGAUACCCUGGUAGUCCACGCCGUAACGAUGAGUGCUACGUGUUAGGCGGUGGCCGCCUCAUAAUGCUGCAGAAACGCCUGCGCACUCCUCCUGCCGAGUACUGUCGAGGACUGAGACUCAACGAAUUACGCGGCGCUCACAGCAGUGGAGCAUGGGGUUCAUUCGAAUCACCCCCAAGAACGUACCCGUCUUGAGAUCGUCUUCGUCCUACAAAAGAAGUCUCAUCCGCGA
rnacentral:rRNA from 1 species